AGUUGGGACUGUCAUGGAGGGC
rnacentral:miRNA from 1 species